rnacentral:rRNA from 1 species
AUGAACGUUGGCGGCGUGGAUUAGGCAUGCAAGUCGUGCGGAAAGGCCCCGCAAGGGGUACUCGAGCGGCGAAAGGGAUAGUAACACGUGGGUAACCUACCUCUAGGCCUGGGAUAGCUGCGGGAAACUGCAGGUAAUACCAGAUGAUGUCCCCGGACCAAAGGUGUGAUUCCGUCUAGGGAGGGGCCCGCGUCCUAUUAGCUAGUUGGCGAGGUAACGGCUCACCAAGGCGAAGAUGGGUAGCGGGUGUGAGAGCAUGACCCGCAUCACUGGGACUGAGACACUGCCCAGACACCUACGGGUGGCUGCAGUCGAGGAUCUUCGGCAAUGGGCGAAAGCCUGACCGAGCGACGCCGCGUGCGGGAUGAAGGCCUUCGGGUUGUAAACCGCUGUCAGUGGGGAGGAAGUCUACGGGGGUUCUCCCCCGCAGUUGACCUAUCCGCAGAGGAAGUCCGGGCUAAGUUCGU